AUGUCGUGAUGAGGACACUUCCUCAAAAAUUCCUUAAUCCGCUCCCAUGCGUCAUAUAAUGACUCCCCAUCAGUCUGAAAGAAUUUAUUAAUCUCUUAUCUCACCCU